rnacentral:rRNA from 1 species
UUAAUUGAAGAGUUUGAUCAUGGCUCAGAUUGAACGCUGGCGGCAGGCCUAACACAUGCAAGUCGAGCGGUAACAUUUCAAAAGCUUGCUUUUGAAGAUGACGAGCGGCGGACGGGUGAGUAAUGCCUGGGAAUUUGCCCAUUUGUGGGGGAUAACAGUUGGAAACGACUGCUAAUACCGCAUACGCCCUACGGGGGAAAGCAGGGGACCUUCGGGCCUUGCGCUGAUGGAUAAGCCCAGGUGGGAUUAGCUAGUAGGUGAGGUAAAGGCUCACCUAGGCGACGAUCCCUAGCUGGUCUGAGAGGAUGAUCAGCCACACUGGGACUGAGACACGGCCCAGACUCCUACGGG